AACCAGACUCCUACGGGAGGCAGCAGUGAGGAAUAUUGGUCAAUGGCCGGAAGGCUGAACCAGCCAAGUCGCGUGAGGGACGACUGCCCUAUGGGUUGUAAACCUCUUUUAUAAGGGAAGAAUAAAUGCUACGUGUAGCAUGAUGCCUGUACCUUAUGAAUAAGCAUCGGCUAACUCCGUGCCAGCAGCCGCGGUAAUACGGAGGAUGCGAGCGUUAUCCGGAUUUAUUGGGUUUAAAGGGUGCGCAGGCGGCGAGUUAAGUCAGCGGUAAAUUUGCGGGGCUCAACCCCGACAAGCCGUUGAAACUGGCUUGCUAGAGUGGGCGAGAAGUAUGCGGAAUGCGUGGUGUAGCGGUGAAAUGCAUAGAUAUCGCGCAGAACUCCGAUUGUGAAGGCAGCGUACCGGCGCCACACUGACGCUGAGGCACGAAAGCGUGGGGAUCGAACAGGAUUAGAUACCCGCGUAAU
rnacentral:rRNA from 1 species